GACCAAUCUCAUUAAAAUCAUAUAUUUAAAGCUUAUACAAUGCCCCUCUGCGUGAAGUACCAAGGAUAUCUCCAUUGAACUAAUCAGCCAAUAAUCAGUUAUUGGUAUUGAGGUGAAUAUUUUUACAACCUGUGGGUGUGAACUCCAUAUGGUAUCUGCCACUAUAACAGUGUCAUUGGGUAUAUUUGUGUUCUGUGAUGAGUUCGAAGGCAAACUACUUUAGAAGACAUCAGGAUGCAAUUGUACAAGACAAGCUUAGUCUGGCCACUGUCGUAAGUUUAUGUUAAGGUAUAGGAGUUAUUACAGCUUAGCGCUAAGAUUGCUUUGAAAAGUUACACUCUGACAGACUCAAGAACCCAGUCAGCUUCUGUUUUGAUUGGUCGGCCAUCUUAUGUGACAGAUCUGACAUGAGCUACUGACACUGACAUAGGAUACAGAGUGAUAUCGUAUCAGAGUGAAAGACCUGACCUUAGGACAGACUAAUUUUAUUUCUUGUUUGACGGAUUCACCGGUCAUAUUUUUUCAAGAAUAAGAAAA